UACGGAGGGGGCAAGCGUUGUUCGGAAUUACUGGGCGUAAAGGGCGCGUAGGCGGCCUUCUAAGUCGGACGGGAAAUCCCCGAGCUUAACUUGGGAACUGCCAUUGAUACUAUUGAUCUUGAAUACCGUGGAGGUCAGCGGAAUAUGUCAUGUAGCGGUGAAAUGCUUAGAUAUGACAUAGAACACCAAUUGCGAAGGCAGCUGGCUACGCGAAUAUUGACGCUGAGGCACGAAAGCGUGGGGAUCAAACAGG
rnacentral:rRNA from 1 species